AACAAUCGAGCGAGCGUAAUUAAUUCGUUCGGUCAGCGUAUAUAUGUCCGUUAGAUUAUCCUACCUAUACGACGUAGAAUGAAGCAGUAGUUGUAUAUUAUUUGUACCAAAGUAGGAGUAUGGGCCUGAAAGAGACCACGUCGACGGUUGUAGAGCUCUACCGUCAACGACUAACUACUAAUCCAAAAUUAGUAGUCCUACCCUCCACUAGUACUUGCUCUC
rnacentral:lncRNA from 1 species